rnacentral:pre_miRNA from 1 species
UGAUGGUGAUGAUGGUGGUGAUGAUGAUGGUGAUGAUGGUGAUGAUGAUAAUGAGGAUGAUUCAUCACCAUCAUCACCAUCAUCACCAUCAUCACCAUCAUCAUCAUCA